ensembl:lincRNA
AGGACGGUGUGCAUCCUGUGGGGCCAGUGGGCGGUGAACUUGGCCCCUGCCACCCUCUACAUUCUGUAUGGAGCCCAGGCAACUCUCAGGAGGAAGACAAAUGCCAGAGAGCCAGGGCCAGGGAAAGCACCCAUGGGCAGCUCGAAUCCUACUGGGGAGCUUCUCGGGGAAGGAGACUUCACAUCAGACUCACCACAGAAAGCAACUUGCAGAAAAUGUCAGCGGCAACUUCUCUCCUCCCACACGGCUCCCUUCCUGGCUCCUUCUCUGGGUGUCUCCCUGACCGCUCAUCUGCCCCUUCUUCUACCAUUUCCCAGGUGUCUGAUGUGUGCUAGUUUCCAGGCUGAAGAUGAAUACGAGUGGGCCCCCUUAGUCUGAAAACUCAGUCACUGUUUUAAAAGGGACUUCAGAACCUUCAGACCUUCUGGCCCACACACGUGGGUCAUGUG